rnacentral:rRNA from 2 species
CCGCCCAGAGGUAAACGGGUGGAUCCGCAAAGUCGGUCCGCGGAAUUCAGCGCGGCGCGCGGUCCGGGGCUGCCGCUGUUCGGGAUCCUCUGGGAACCAGCAGCGGUGCCGAGCCGGACCCCGCCGCGUGCACUUUCCGCGGGCAGAGAGCCACAACCGGUUUGGUGGCGGUCACAAGCCCGGAGGGUUGUCGGUGGGGGCGCUCGCGUCCCUACCAGCCCCCCGCGGCGAGUCGCCGCCGGACCGAGGAACCGCCGCGCGCUUCGAGGCCACCCUCCCUUCCGGGUGAGUUCGACUGGGAGAGACUGGGCAACCGUGUCUCCCGACCGCUCACUCGCGACUGGCGCGGGGCUGGCCGGGCGAGCACUUGGGUUGGUGGCAAGUCUGUCGGCAUUCCACCCGACCCGUCUUGAAACACGGACCAAGGAGUCUAACAUGCGCGCGAGUCAUUGGGCGGUACGAAACCCAAAGGCGCAGUGAAAGCGAGGGCCUGUCAAAGGGCCCAGGUGGGAUCCAAUCGCUUCUUCGGCCCUUCG